UGGCUACGCGAGCACUGCAACACUUAUAUUUAAUUAACACAAUUUGUAGCUAGCUUACUAGUGUGCAUUUCAUUUUGAAUUUUGUAUCUCUUGAAUUUUGUAUAUUUUGAAUUUAUACUUUGAACUAGCUCUGGUGUGCACCCUUUGUAAGCUUAUCUUAGGAGUGGUUGGCAACGCAUGCCCAACUCGCUCGCUACCAACUCGCUGUAUACUCAUUUACGCAACUGCAGUGCUCGUGCGCGAAAUAUUUUACUAAAUCUAUUAAACCUCCACAUUUUUGUACACUCGCAUAAUAGAAGCCUGAAAUUUUAAUAAAUCUAUUGUUCAAACACAAAGUGAAUCCAA